GCGGCGCGGGGGGAACCCGUGGAAGGUUUUCAAACAGCCACGAGAGACUUGGCAGAAUUUACGGCCUUCAGGGGCCGGUGAGAGGUUUGCAGGGCCGGAAGUGUGUGCCUAGUGGGGCGCGCUUCUGGGGGGGAUUUUGCAGGUGGUUCCCCAAAAGCAUACAUCUCUGUUUGCUGUAAUUGCCUCAUUUCUGCCACUGGUGCUGGAAAGGUAAAGGCAGCAGAGGCGGGAGCAGUUAUCUUUCGCGGUGGUGUGCUCAUGCUUCCUCUGCGUAACUCCUCAGAUACAGUUUCACUUUGUGGACUGCCUUUCUGCGGAAAUGGGCAAUUUUCUUACACCACGGCCAUCACAUUUUCAGAUCCUCUGUGUCAGCAGGAGGAAGUGCAGACUGCCCUGUCUCUCUGGCGUCAGUGGCAAGAGCAGGAGAGGAGAAGCCUGCCCGGCUGGCCGCACCGCGCAGCUGUUUGCACCAUCGCAGCAGGGAACUGCAGCGGGGCACAGAUUCAGCUGGAAAAUCACCUCCGAGAAGUAAAACUGCCUGGGCUCACAGCGUGGAUGUCACCGUGAACGUCCAGAGGCGACUGGUGGUCUGGCUUGCCACGGGGCCCACGCUGGCCCACUGGCAAGCAGCCGCCCUGGCAAUGCACGUGACUCCCCCAGCGGCUGCCCUGGCCAAAUUCCCCAGAUCCUGCCCUAGGAGCCCCGGCCACCACACCUCUACUCCAGCCUCAGGGGACAAGCCAGCUUUCACUCGUUUUCCUGUAAAUUGGGCCAUGAUGCCUCUCAUUUCCUGGUGCUUUCCGUCUCAUGAUCUUAUCCCACUGAUUUUCCUUUACAAGCAACAGGGAAAUGCUGGGAAAGUUGUGGAAAACAGAAAGGAGAAACAGGUCACACUAGAAAUUCUGAAACCUCAGCAAAGCUCUUGUUUAAGGUGA
rnacentral:lncRNA from 1 species